UAGAGAAUACCAAGGCGCUUGAGAGAACUCGGGUGAAGGAACUAGGCAAAAUGGUGCCGUAACUUCGGGAGAAGGCACGCUGGCAUGUAGGUGAAUUCCGUAUCGGAGGGAGCUGAAGCCAGUCGCAGAGACCAGCUGGCUGCAACUGUUUAAUAAAAACACAGCACUGUGCCAACACGAAAGUGGACGUAUACGGUGCGACGCCUGCCCGGUGCUGGAAGGUUAAUUGAUGGGGUUAGCCGCAAGGCGAAGCUCUUGAUCGAAGCCCCAGUAAACGGCGGCCGUAACUAUAACGGUCCUAAGGUAGCGAAAUUCCUUGUCGGGUAA
rnacentral:rRNA from 1 species